rnacentral:rRNA from 1 species
GAUGAACGCUGGCGGCGUGCCUAAUACAUGCAAGUCGAGCGAACAGACGAGGAGCUUGCUCCUCUGACGUUAGCGGCGGACGGGUGAGUAACACGUGGAUAACCUACCUAUAAGACUGGGAUAACUUCGGGAAACCGGAGCUAAUACCGGGUAAUAUAUUGAACCGCAUGGUUCAAUAGUGAAAGACGGUUUUGCUGUCACUUAUAGAUGGAUCCGCGCCGCAUUAGCUAGUUGGUAAGGUAACGGCUUACCAAGGCAACGAUGCGUAGCCGACCUGAGAGGGUGAUCGGCCACACUGGAACUGAGACACGGCCCAGACUCCUACGGGAGGCAGCAGUAGGGAAUCUUCCGCAAUGGGCGAAAGCCUGACGGAGCAACGCCGCGUGAGUGAUGAAGGUCUUCGGAUCGUAAAACUCUGUUAUUAGGGAAGAACAAAUGUGUAAGUAACUAUGCACGUCUUGACGGUACCUAAUCAGAAAGCCACGGCUAACUACGUG